CUGUGAUCAGAGCGCCGCUGUGCAGCAGUAAUGAGGGCGCUCGCGCUACACCGAGACCCACGCUCCUAACUGCAGACUGAAUUCUUCUUUGUAACAGUUGUACAACAUGGUUUCAAUCAUCAAAAGCUCAUUACACAUAGCGCUAUCUCCAGACCAGCAAUGGAGAGAUUGCUGUCCUUCAGCGGCCAUCAAUCAGUGAUUCAAAGCAUGAAUUUCAUCAGUAAGAAAACUCACAGGGCAUGGCCUGUAUUUACCCUGCAAAUCACCUUCUUUGUUAUAAAGCAAUCUAAAGUGG